rnacentral:piRNA from 1 species
UGACAAAAGACUGCACUUGAGACACGCCU